rnacentral:rRNA from 1 species
CACCUAUCUUCGGAUAGAAGCGAGUGGCGAACGGCUGAGUAACACGUGGAGAACCUGCCCCCUCCCCCGGGAUAGCCGCCCGAAAGGACGGGUAAUACCGGAUACCCCGGGGUGCCGCAUGGCACCCCGGCUGAAGCCCCGACGGGAGGGGAUGGCUCCGCGGCCCAUCAGGUAGACGGCGGGGUGACGGCCCACCGUGCCGACAACGGGUAGCCGGGUUGAGAGACCGACCGGCCAGAUUGGGACUGAGACACGGCCCAG